ACUCAACAUCUGGACAUCACUCAACUCUGUCACACAUGUUCAGAUCAGGGCCUACCUUUAUUGUACAUAGUGCUGAUUUCUGCUGCUGCUGGAUCUCUGUUGAUCUUGGCUGCAGUUGUGACGUACUGCUGGAAACAGAGAAAAAAAGUCAUGAUCAACGAGAUAUACGAAACACUGCCUAAACCAAAACCAUGAAAAACGAAAUCAAAGGAGCCUGUGUAUGGAAAUAUCGACAGAAAUAAUCAGAAAUGAUCAAAUAUAUUUUAGAGCUCAUACGGACCCCUGACUCAUACGUUUUAGUUGAUAUUUAAUCUCUGCCAGGAUGUUUUUCGUCUAUCUCUGUUUUGUUG